CACGUAGGCACCAAGCGUUAUCCGGAUUUAUUGGGCGUAAAGAGCUCGUAGGCGGUUCGGUAAGUCGGGUGUGAAAACUCUGGGCUCAACCCCGGGCCUGCAGUCGAUACGGGCAAACUAGAGUGUGGUAGGGGAGACUGGAAUUCCUGGUGUAGCGGUGAAAUGCGCAGAUAUCAGGAGGAACACCGGUGGCGAAGGCGGGUCUCUGGGCCAUAACUGACGCUGAGGAGCGAAAGCGUGGGGAGCGAACAGG
rnacentral:rRNA from 1 species